CCUACGGGUGGCAGCAGUGAGGAAUAUUGGUCAAUGGACGCGAGCCUGAACCAGCCAAGUAGCGUGAAGGAUGACUGCCCUACGGGUUGUAAACUUCUUUUGUAAAGGAAUAAAGUGAGGCACGUGUGCCUUUUUGUAUGUACUUUAUGAAUAAGGAUCGGCUAACUCCGUGCCAGCAGCCGCGGUAAUACGGAGGAUCCGAGCGUUAUCCGGAUUUAUUGGGUUUAAAGGGAGCGUAGAUGGGUUGUUAAGUCAGUGGUGAAAGUUUGCGGCUCAACACCAAAAUUGCAAUUGAUACUGGCAGUCUUGAGUAUAGUUGCGGUAGGCGGAAUGCGUGGUGUAGCGGUGAAAUGCUUAGAGAUCAUGCAGAACUCCGAUUGCGAAGGCAGCUUACUAAACUGCCACUGACAUUGAUGCUCGAAAGUGUGGGUAUCAAACAGGAUUAGAUACCCCUGUAGUC
rnacentral:rRNA from 1 species